rnacentral:rRNA from 1 species
CCUACGGGCGGCUGCAGUGGGGGAUAUUGCACAAUGGGGGAAACCCUGAUGCAGCGACGCCGCGUGUGGGAAGACGGUCUUCUGGAUUGUAAACCACUGUCCCCAGGGACGAAAAUGACGGUACCUGGGGAGGAAGCUCCGGCUAACUACGUGCCAGCAGCCGCGGUAAUACGUAGGGAGCAAGCGUUGUCCGGAAUUACUGGGUGUAAAGGGAGCGUAGGCGGGGAUGCAAGUUGGGUGUCAAAACUACCGGCUCAACCGAGAGUCGCACUCAAAACUGCAGCUCUUGAGUGAAGUAGAGGCAGGCGGAAUUCCUAGUGUAGCGGUGAAAUGCGUAGAUAUUAGGAGGAACACCAGUGGCGAAGGCGGCCUGCUGGGCUUUUACUGACGCUGAGGCUCGAAAGUGUGGGGAGCAAACAGGAUUAGAUACCCGGGUAGUC